CGCUGACUCAUGGCUACUGUUCUCCAGAGCCACAGCUGCUUUUGUCUGUUCUUUAGGUAUCUGCAUUCCUUCCUUGGGGUCUCGUAGCAGAAGCUGAUAACCAUCAGAAGGAGUAUCAGGUCGCGACGAAACCGGCCGUCUUUCCCAGUCAACACAUAAGAACAUCAACUAAAACUGUCAGGAAAGAAAAAAAGAGAGAAGAACCAGAAACUUCAAUCAAUGUCUCAUCCCUGAAAACGAUGACACUGUCAAACUGCUGUCAUUAAAGCUAACUAACCAUAUUAAACGAAUAUUAAAAUAUAGGUUUCUUUGCAUAACAUAAUGAGCGAAAGUGCUUUUAAGUUUUUCCAUUCGCUUUGAGGUGUAGGUGGCAUUUUCAUUCCAAAACUUUGAAGUCAGACAAAAUGUACAGGUAGAGGGUACUAGAUCAAAUAAUAAUCAACUUCAAAAAGCAUUUUGGCUGUUAUAUAUCCCAGGGCUAAUUUCCUCUAGACAUUUUAAAUGUAAAUGUCUAAACUCAUUUAAAAAUUGUAAAUUGGUCUAGGUUCAAUCAAAACCCAUCCUGACACAGAGCAGAGAGAGUGGGCUAAUUGUGUUUUGUUUGUCAAAUGAAUUCCAUUUGGAAAGCAAUGAAACCUCCAAGCUAAUUCUUUUAAGGUGAGCUAGUAGUUGUAUUAUCAGUUAAAUGCAGUAAAAUGGAUAAUCACAUGAUGAUAAUGAAAACUGAGUCUAUUUUAACAUUCAGGCUUAGUCUGCCACAGGGCAUAUAGUGAUGGAACUUAAGUACUGUAAUGUUCCAUUGGGCACAAUGGCACCAAGUUUGCUCUUUAGCUGCACAGACACUUUCUUUGCAUUUUAAAAAACUUUAUCAAAGCACUGUGGCAAGGUAGAAAAUGUCAAAGUGAAAUGCACUGUAGGCAAAUUGUGAUUUCAUUAAGUUUAAAUUUAUUGCUUUUGACUGAUGUAUUACCAUGCUUGUUAAGAACUAGUAAUUUAGAAUAUCUGCCUGCCUAGUUAAAUAGCUUUGUCUCCUCACAUAACACUUUAUACACACUUUGAAAGACCACCAUAAUUCAAAGAAAGUGGGGGCCUAUUUUAUUUUUCUAAAAAAAUAAUUUCAAACAUUCAACAAUAGCUGACCUUAUGGACAGAUAGUCUUGCAUGCUGAUCCCGGGUGUUUUGUUAGUUUCCUUGGUAGUUAAUUGCAGCCUUAAUAUAUGUUAUUGUUGCUACUCUUGGAUAUCUACGUCUAGUUCAUUAACAAUGGGAACUUAGGAACAGCGUAAUGCUUCUACAUGGUUUGUUGCUUCAUUGAGCAUGUAUAUUGGAUGUAACUGGGAGCUGUUAAGAAUGGAGCUGUCCAAAAUUUCUGUGUUCAUUUGGAACACAUUUAGUUGGUGAAUGUGAGCUCUCCAAAUGAGUAUUUAUUGAACAAAAUGGCUGUACAUACUGAGCAAAAUGGCUGGCUGACCAUUCGUGAAACAUAUUAAAUAAUUACAAUUGAUUAAUUCUGUGUUGAGGAUGUUCUAGGCCAUAAUUCUAGGGCAUACUUUUUUAAAAAAGGAGAUAGAAAUAUAAUUUGUGAACUGAAAAAUAAACCUAGGUAAUCAAU